AUUGAACGCUGGCGGCAGGCUUAACACAUGCAAGUCGAACGAGUGGCGGACGGGUGAGUAAUGCUUGGGAAACUGCCUGAUGGAGGGGGAUAACUACUGGAAACGGUAGCUAAUACCGCAUACCAUCAGAUGUGCCCAGAUGGGAUUAGCUAGUAGGUGGGGUAACGGCUCACAUAGGAGACGAUCCCUAGCUGGUCUGAGAGGAUGACCAGCCACAUUGGAACGGAGACACGGUCCAGACUCCGACGGGAGUCAGCAGUGGGGAAUAUUGCACAAGGGGCGCAAGCCUGAUGCAGCCAUGCCGCGUGUGUGAAGAAGGCCUUCGGGUUGUAAAGCACUUUCAGCGGGGAGGCGUUACCCGCAGAAGAAGCACCGGCUAACUCCGUGCCAGCAGCCGCGGUAAUAC
rnacentral:rRNA from 1 species